CCCGCACAAGCGGUGGAGCAUGUGGUUUAAUUCGAAGCAACGCGAAGAACCUUACCAGGUCUUGACAUCCUCUGACAAUCCUAGAGAUAGGACGUCCCCUUCGGGGGCAGAGUGACAGGUGGUGCAUAAAGUCGUCAGCUCGUGUCGUGAGAUGUUGGGUUAAGUCCCGCAACGAGCGCCACCCUUGAUCUUAGUUGCCAGCAUUCAGUUGGGCACUCUAAGGUGACUGCCGGUGACAAACCGGAGGAAGGUGGGGAUGACGUCAAAUCAUCAUGCCCCUUAUGACUCUGGGCUACACACGUGCUACAAUGGACAGAACAAAGGGCGGGAAACCGCGAGGUUAA
rnacentral:rRNA from 2 species